rnacentral:lncRNA from 1 species
AUGGGGCUAAUGCAGGUUUUGGCUGCAGAGCCUGAGCAUCCUCUGAGCAGCUGCAGCACACUCCUGGGGGUGCAAGGACACCCUGGGCAGGGCAGGGUCCUGCAGGGUUUGCUGACUUCAGACCCCUCUGAGAUCGUGGCUCUGCUUUGGCCCAAACGUUCACCACUCCAUGGACACCAGGCAGAGCCCGGUGUUCAGAGAGCUGGGGCACGAGGCUCAGAGCUCAGAGCUCAGAGCCUGAGCCCCUGCCCGUGGCCAGUGCUGAUGGAUCAUUGCUGGGGCUCCUGCAGGGGCCCGUGCUGGAGCGUGGAAGGACCACCCUCACCGAGGGGAUGGGAUAAAGCUCUGGAGCUCGGGAUAACCAGAGGUCCCUUCUCAGUGCCAGCCCCUCCUGCUCCCCCGGUGUUCUUGCUGUCCAGGAACAGCCUCAAGGACACCUGCUCCCCUCUGUCCGAGCUCGUGGACCCUGAGAACUUCAGGGUUGUGUCUGCAGCCCCAGCCCUGCCCUGGGCUGUGUGGGAGAGCCAGACCUCGCUGUUCCUCUCUCCAGGGACACGCUCUUGGGCUGGUGGGGAAGCAUCCCUGUGCAGUACCCAGGAGGGAGGGGUGAUGCUUUGUGCAGUGACUUUCUCCCUAAAAUGCCCCGUUUUUAGUGCCAGCCCAGCACAGGGGAGGGCAGCUAUGGAGAGAUGGUUACCUGCAGGAGAUGUGGCUGGGGAACAGCCCCAGGGGAAGGAAGGUGCAGCCUGGCAUGCAGGAGUGGGAGCAGAGGGAAGCUCAGCAGGGCAUUUCAGGAAACCCAAACUCCCUCAGCAAGAGAGGCAGAACCAAGGAGCAGGGUCCUGCCUUGCCCAGCACGGGGCAUCCACACUUCCCCCUUCUCCAAAACUUUUAAUUCAGAAGGGAUCAUUCUCUUCACUUAUGUCUAAAGACAAAAAGAAAAAAAAAAUAGUGUUUUUCAGGGUGGGUCUCAGGCCAAACCCAAAUGCUUUUGGAAAAGGGGGAAAUAGUUCAAGAUUCCUUCUGGUUGUGUUUUAUUUUAUUUGUAGGAAUGAAAUUUCUGUUUUCCCAAAACCCAGAGGUGUCUGUGGAAAUACUGAGGAUUCUGUUGUGGCAGGGAGCAGGGAGUGA